rnacentral:rRNA from 1 species
CCUACGGGUGGCAGCAGUGGGGAAUAUUGGACAAUGGGGGCAACCCUGAUCCAGCCAUGCCGCGUGUGUGAAGAAGGCCCUCGGGUUGUAAAGCACUUUCAGUGAGGAAGAACGCCUGGUGGUUAAUACCCAUCAGGAAAGACAUCACUCACAGAAGAAGCACCGGCUAACUCCGUGCCAGCAGCCGCGGUAAUACGGAGGGUGCGAGCGUUAAUCGGAAUUACUGGGCGUAAAGCGCGCGUAGGUGGCUUGAUAAGCCGGUUGUGAAAGCCCCGGGCUCAACCUGGGAACGGCAUCCGGAACUGUCAAGCUAGAGUGCAGGAGAGGAAGGUAGAAUUCCCGGUGUAGCGGUGAAAUGCGUAGAGAUCGGGAGGAAUACCAGUGGUGAAGGCGGCCUUCUGGACUGACACUGACACUGAGGUGCGAAAGCGUGGGUAGCAAACAGGAUUAGAUACCCCGGUAGUC